rnacentral:rRNA from 1 species
UUACAUUGGAGAGUUUGAUCCUGGCUCAGAACGAACGUUAGCGGCGCGCUUAACACAUGCAAGUCGAGCGAGAAAGAGGGCAACCUCCAGUAAAGCGGCGCA